ACAAAUGCAACAAGCUAUCAAUCAAACAAAGUCAUUUAGCACUCACUAUAACCAAACAAUUAGGCUCAAUCAAAGGGUUAGACUUAAAAAGUCAACUGGAAUAGGGUAAAUGGUGCUCUUGACCUUGACAUUGAGAGCCAAGGUGAAGCAGAUGAAAGGAUAUGAGGGGUGUGCCUCAUCACUCUUAUCCCUGGUCAGG
rnacentral:lncRNA from 1 species